UGAAUGGCCACGCGGUUUCGAAGGCGAUGAAUGCACUUUGUGUGGAAGUAUACAACAAAAUAAUUUUGCUACCAACUGCAGAAGGAACCCACGGAUUACCUACACUGGGGUGAUAUGGUGUUUGCCAUUGGCAUCUUUGUAUAGCAUGGCAACCAAAAAUCUGGCAUAUGCACAUACAUACGUAUGCUUUUCCAACAAACGAAAAAAAAUGCUGCCCCGUGCCACAGGCAUAUUUAAAACUGCGACCGUUUGCUCGAUCCCAAAAAAACAAGGCAUCUUCUGUCGGCUUCGGGGCAUCGUGUAACGUAUCGAACGUAGUGAUUGCGCUUCAUUCUUCCUAACGUAAUUCGUUUUGUGGAUCGUAUUCACCUAAAGCUGCCUUUAUACGAUCAAUAUUGUUUUUCUCCAAACAAACAAGUUGCCGAGCAACUCAUCAAAAUGUUGCGCCUUUCAUACCACUCGCCACCCAACAAUGCAUACUAAUAUCUACGCGCUUUGAUAAGCUAUGCAAGGUACGCAAUAAGGCGUAAAUAAUAAACGUGGUAAAAUCGUGAUGUGUGCAACGUACGCAGCAAAUUUUAAUAUACAGAUUUACCACUUUGAUGUAUGCAACGUACGCAGCAAAUAUAUAUGUUAAAAAAAUGUGCAAUAUUAUACGGAGUUGAAUCGCUUAUGCGUAGUGAUUUAGUGAAAAUCUACUAUUGGUUCAAUGCAAAUAAUAAAAUUUAGAGGUUAUGUAUCCUCGAAACAGUGACAAAGUGUUCGCAAAUAUACAAAAGAAUUUAACCCAAAUAAAAGGUGAAGUGGAAAAACGAUCAGAAAAAUGAAGAUUAUGAUUAUGGACUGUGAAUUUAAACAAAAUCGAAAUUCUUCAUUAACAAUAUUAUGUGAUACGGAUCACUGCUGUGAGUGUAUAUAUACGCGUGUUUGCAAAGUGCAAUUAUUUUUUGGUUGCCGUUCGCGGACGCAAUUUGAACCAAGACUCUAAAAAAAUGUGUAGCAAACCAACGAGUACUGUGUGACACUGUGUGUGUAUAUGUUAAUGUUGCAAGAACACCUGUUCGCUGUUGUCACUUGUGGACGGACAGACUAACCUCAAUUAUUAACAGUGUGGUUUCAAAAUUAAAUGCUCCAAUUGUAUAUUUUCAGUUUAAACACUCGCGAGAUUCUAGUUAGCACACGCGCAUUGAAUUUAAAAACGUUUUUUUUUAGCAAUUUUCUAACAAGUGCAAUUGAAAUUAUAACCACGGAGCUUGAAUUAGAAGUGAUUGGUGUUUGGUGGUUGUAGUGCUCGUUGGUGUCCUGGCAAAUUUAGGUGUCGUAGCAAGAAAGCUGAGUGUGGUUGUGUUUGAGUUUGUUGGUGCUGUAGUUGCCGGUUGGCUGGUUUGUGGCACAGCUGACUGAAUCACUGGCAAUUUCGCUGGCGCAGGGAUAAAAAGCGUUGGUGUUAUAAAAAGCCGUGGUUGCUGAUGUGGUUAACAAAAAUCGCUCGUUGUUGAAGCUCUGUGUGUUGUGCUGGUACUUUCAAUGUGGAGUGUAUUAAAAAUCUCGGUUCCGAUGGACCAUGAAGAAACCCAGUUGCGCCGCAGGGAUUUCGAAUGAGCGCACCCGUGGUUUUAUUGAAGAUAAUAGAAAAGGAGGAGAAGCUUCGCCAAACACUAACAUAUGUGUAAGUGCCAAUCUAUUAUUAUUAUUAAUAGAAAAGAUAUAAAACGCAAUUGGAUUAGUAUUUUGUAAUAUUUA